UACGAAGGGGCUAGCGUUGCUCGGAAUUACUGGGCGUAAAGCGCACGUAGGCGGCUUUCUAAGUCGGGGUGAAAUCCUGGAGCUCAACUCCAGAACUGCCUUCGAUACUGGAAGCUCGAGUCCGGGAGAGGUGAGUGGAACUGCGAGUGUAGAGGUGAAAUUCGUAGAUAUUCGCAAGAACACCAGUGGCGAAGGCGGCUCACUGGCCCGGUACUGACGCUGAGGUGCGAAAGCGUGGGAGCAA
rnacentral:rRNA from 1 species